CGCGUAGGCGGUAAUGUAAGUCAGACGUGAAAUCCUUCGGCUUAACUGAAGAACUGCGUCUGAAACUGCAUGACUAGAGUGCAGAAGAGGGAAACGGAAUUCCUGGUGUAGAGGUGAAAUUCGUAGAUAUCAGGAGGAACACCGGUGGCGAAGGCGGUUUCCUGGUCUGACACUGACGCUGAGGCGCGAAAGCGUGGGGAGCAAACAGGAUUAGAUACCCUGGUAGUCCACGCCGUAAACGGUGGGUACUGGGUGUGGGAGGUGUAAUGCCUUCUGUGCCGAAGCUAACGCGUUAAGUACCCCGCCUGGGGAGUAUGGCCGCAAGGUUGAA
rnacentral:rRNA from 1 species